AAGACUAUAGACCUGCGGAGUACCUGCGGAAGGAUCAUUACAGAGUUUUCUAACUCCCAAACCCAUGUGAACUUACCAUUGUUGCCUCGGCGGAGCCUACCCUGUAGCUACCCUAUAAGGUGGUUACCCUGUAGCGCCCCGCCGGUGGAUUUUCAAACUCUUGUUAUUUUUAGUAAUCUGAGAGUCUUAUUUUAAAUAAGUCAAAACUUUUAACAAUGGAUCUCUAGAUCGGAAGAGCAC
rnacentral:misc_RNA from 1 species